rnacentral:rRNA from 1 species
AACGCUGGCGGCGUGCCUAACACAUGCAAGUCGAACGUGAAAGUCCUUCGGGAUGUCAGCUAAGUGCGGACGGGUGAGUAAUGUAUAGUUAAUCUGCCCUUUAGUAGAGGGAUAACUACUGGAAACGGUAGCUAAUACCUCAUACUCCUUUUGUCCUUAAUGGUAAUUGGGAAACGAAUUUUGCUAAAGGAUGAGACUAUAUGAUAUCAGGUAGUUGGUGGGGUAAGAGCCUACCAAGCCUAUGACAUCUAACUGGUCUGAGAGGAUGAUCAGUCACACUGGAACUGAGACACGGUCCAGACUCCUACGGGAGGCAGCAGUGGGAAAUAUUGCACAAUGGACGAAAGUCUGAUGCAGCAACGCCGCGUGGAGGAUGACACAUUUCGGUGCGUAAACUCCUUUUAUAUGGGAAGAUAAUGACGGUACCAUAUGAAUAAGCACCGGCUAACUCCGUG